rnacentral:rRNA from 1 species
UAGGGAAUCUUCCGCAAUGGGCGAAAGCUUGACGGAGCAACGCCGCGUGAGUGAUGAAGGUCUUCGGAUCGUAAAACUCUGUUAUUAGGGAAGAACAAAUGUGUAAGUAACUAUGCACGUCUUGACGGUACCUAAUCAGAAAGCCACGGCUAACUACGUGCCAGCAGCCGCGGUAAUACGUAGGUGGCAAGCGUUAUCCGGAAUUAUUGGGCGUAAAGCGCGCGUAGGCGGUUUUUUAAGUCUGAUGUGAAAGCCCACGGCUCAACCGUGGAGGGUCAUUGGAAACUGGAAAACUUGAGUGCAGAAGAGGAAAGUGGAAUUCCAUGUGUAGCGGUGAAAUGCGCAGAGAUAUGGAGGAACACCAGUGGCGAAGGCGACUUUCUGGUCUAUAACUGACGCUGAUGUGCGAAAGCGUGGGGAUCAAACAGG